GGUUAAGCGACUAAGCGUACACGGUGGAUGCCCUGGCAGUCAGAGGCGAUGAAGGGCGUGCUAAUCUGCGAUAAGCGCCGGUAAGGUGAUAUGAACCGUUAUAACCGGCGAUACCCGAAUGGGGAAACCCAGUGUGAUUCGUCACACUAUCAUUAACUGAAUCCAUAGGUUAAUGAGGCGAACCGGGGGAACUGAAACAUCUAAGUACCCCGAGGAAAAGAAAUCAACCGAGAUUCCCCCAGUAGCGGCGAGCGAACGGGGAGGAGCCCAGAGCCUGAAUCAGCAUGUGUGUUAGUGGAAGCGUCUGGAAAGGCGCGCGAUACAGGGUGACAGCCCCGUACACAAAAGCGUAUGUGCUGUGAGCUCGAUGAGUAGGGCGGGACACGUGGUAUCCUGUCUGAAUAUGGGGGGACCAUCCUCCAAGGCUAAAUACUCCUGACUGACCGAUAGUGAACCAGUACCGUGAGGGAAAGGCGAAAAGAACCCCGGCGAGGGGAGUGAAAAAGAACCUG
rnacentral:rRNA from 1 species